AAAUUUACUAUUUAUUACACUAUUAAUUUCUCUGUUGUAAAAAUCUUGUGUCUGUUUUUUUUCAUUGCUUAAACCCAGUUUGUCAUUAAAUCCAAUGUAUUUUUGCAUUCUAAAAUAGCUGCCAUGUUUAUCUGCUCUCUGACCUCCUUAUCUCAUAUCCUUCUUGAUCUAGACCUUUAUCACCACUGUCUGGGAUCAUUCUGGUAAACACCUAACCCUUGUCCUUACUUUCAGAAUUUCUGUUCCUUGCUUCAUCCUCUACUCUGCACCCAGGGUCAGGUCUUUCUCAAGGGAGGGAAAGUUUAAAUGUGGGGGGAAAUGUGUAUAUGCUGUUAGUAUGUUUAUUAAAAUAUACUAACAGCAUAUACAUCUAAAGAAAUUAGACAUCCACACUGUAAUAUUGAGCUUUUCUUUGAAGAUUUUUAUAUAUACAUAAGCAAUGUUUGGGUGAUAUAAUGAAGAUGCAUUCUCUAAAGAACCAGCUAGAUCCAAGACAGCUUGUCAGGGAACAAUUACAGGCCCCACUGUUAACUGCAAGCAGAACAAUAAUUUUAUCACGCAGAUUACAGUUUGUGAUGCCAUGAGUUUUUGUGGUUUGGGUUGUGUUUUUGCCAUAGCUCUUAUUCUCUAAAGUACUGUACAUUUAUCUUCACAAUAGGAUUUGCCAUAGGCCUUAUUAUUCAGCAAGUUUUGACUGAAGUGUCUUUCUAAAAUGGGGCAAAAAAUGUAGAAGAAAAUCAGGUGAACAUAGAAGCACACUAAACUGCAAAAAGCAAUCAACCUAACUAUUAAACAAAUGAAUUAGUAUCACAAUAAGUUAAACAAAG
rnacentral:lncRNA from 1 species